CAUGAUAGAUUUACCCACACUAUGAGAACUAUUCAAGGAUCGUUAAUUGUUUCUUCCUUCGUCAAUAUCAUCCUUGGGUUUAGUUUUGCAUGGGCCAAUUUGAUAUGCUUAUUUACCCCCAUUGUUAUAGUACCAGUGGCUUGUGUGGUGGGGCUUGGUCUGUUCAUGAGGGGCUUCCCACUGCUUGCUAACUGCGUGGAGAUUGGCCUGCCUAUGCUGAUUAUACUAGUCAUUUGCCAGUAUUUGAAGCAUCUCCAUCCAAGGAGCCGUCCUAUACUUGAAAGGUUUGGCUUGCUUUUCUGUGUUGGAAUUGUCUGGGCUUUUGCUGCUAUCCUUACUGUUGCUGGUGCCUACAACAAUGUUGGAGAACAAACUAAAAUGAGUUGUCGCACAGAUCGAUCCUAUCUUAUAUCAUCUGCUCCAUGGGUUCGAGUCCCAUACCCUUUUCAGUGGGGUGCUCCCAUAUUUAGAGCAAGCCAUGUCUUUGGGAUGAUGGGGGCAGCGCUUGUUUCAUCUGCAGAGUCCACUGGAACGUAUUUUGCCGCAGCAAGGCUUGCAGGUGCUACACACCCUCCAGCAUAUGUUCUCACCAGAAGUAUUGGUCUGCAGGGUGUUGGCAUGCUGCUUGAAGGAAUCUUUGGUGCUGCUGUUGGCAACACUGCUUCUGUUGAAAAUGUUGGCCUUCUUGGACUUACACACAUUGGGAGCCGAAGAGUGGUGCAGAUAUCAACUG
rnacentral:misc_RNA from 1 species